rnacentral:rRNA from 1 species
UACGAAGGGGGGCUAGCGUUGCUCGGAAUCACUGGGCGUAAAGGGCGCGUAGGCGGCGUUUUUAAGUCGGGGGGUGAAAGCCUGUGGCUCAACCACAGAAUGGCCUUCGAUACUGGGACGCUUGAGUAUGGUAGAGGUUGGUGGAACUGCGAGUGUAGAGGUGAAAUUCGUAGAUAUUCGCAAGAACACCGGUGGCGAAGGCGGCCAACUGGACCCAUUCUGACGCUGAGGCGCA